CGACUCGCUCGCUGCCGCCGGCUACCACGUCGCGCCGAAGGACGUGCUGCAGAAGUGGCAGAACAUGUUUGCCACGUACAAACGGAUAAUGGCGCGGGAGGCCGAAUCGGGGGUGUUCAACACCCACUGGGAGUUCUACGACGACAUGAAGGAGCUGAUGGCGGAGCGUAGCCCGCGGAGGCCGGAGAGCGGCGAGGACGCGGAGCCGGACCUGGCGGCGGCGGCCCCGCCGGCCCCGACGCCCGCGCCCGCGCCCAGC
rnacentral:lncRNA from 1 species